CUACGGGUCGCUCCAGUGGGGAAUAUUGCACAAUGGGCGCAAGCCUGAUGCAGCCAUGCCGCGUGUAUGAAGAAGGCCUUCGGGUUGUAAAGUACUUUCAGCGGGGAGGAAGGGAGUAAAGUUAAUACCUUUGCUCAUUGACGUUACCCGCAGAAGAAGCACCGGCUAAGUCCGUGCCAGCAGCCGCGGUAAUACGGAGGGUGCAAGCGUUAAUCGGAAUUACUGGGCGUAAAGCGCACGCAGGCGGUUUGUUAAGUCAGAUGUGAAAUCCCCGGGCUCAACCUGGGAACUGCAUCUGAUACUGGCAAGCUUGAGUCUCGUAGAGGGGAGUAGAAUUCCAGGUGUAGCGGUGAAAUGCGUAGAGAUCUGGAGGAAUACCGGUGGCGAAGGCGGCCCCCUGGACGAAGACUGACGCUCAGGUGCGAAAGCGUGGGGAGCAAACAGGAUUAGAUACCCCCGUAGUC
rnacentral:rRNA from 1 species